AUCCUGGCUUAGGACGAACGCUGGCGGCGUGCCUAAUACAUGCAAGUCGAACGGUCUUUCUAUGGAAGCUUGCUUCCACUGAGAAGAUAGUGGCGAACGGGUGAGUAACACGUGGGUAACCUGCCCAUAAGAGGGGGGAUAACAUCCGGAAACGGGUGCUAAUACCGCAUAGUUUUCUUGGUCGCAUGAUCGGGAAAGGAAAGACGGCCUUUGUGCUGUCGCUUAUGGAUGGACCCGCGGCGUAUUAGUUAGUUGGUGAGGUAACGGCUCACCAAGACGAUGAUACGUAGCCGACCUGAGAGGGUGAUCGGCCACAUUGGGACUGAGACACGGCCCAAACUCCUACGGGAGGCAGCAGUAGGGAAUCUUCCGCAAUGGACGAAAGUCUGACGGAGCAACGCCGCGUGAGUGAAGAAGGUUUUUCCGGAUCGUAAAACUCUGUUGUCAGAGAAGAACAAGUUGGAGAGUAACUGCUCCAGCCUUGACGGUAUCUGACCAGAAAGCCACGGCUAACUACGUGCCAGCAGCAGC
rnacentral:rRNA from 1 species